rnacentral:rRNA from 1 species
UGGGGAAUAUUGCACAAUGGGGGGAACCCUGAUGCAGCAACGCCGCGUGAGUGAAGAAGUAUCUCGGUAUGUAAAGCUCUAUCAGCAGGGAAGAAAAUGACGGUACCUGACUAAGAAGCACCGGCUAAAUACGUGCCAGCAGCCGCGGUAAUACGUAUGGUGCAAGCGUUAUCCGGAUUUACUGGGUGUAAAGGGAGCGCAGGCGGCGCGGCAAGUCAGAUGUGAAAGCCCGGGGCUCAACCCCGGGACUGCAUUUGAAACUGCCGGGCUAGAGUGUCGGAGAGGCAAGUGGAAUUCCUAGUG